UACGAAGGGGGCUAGCGUUGCUCGGAAUCACUGGGCGUAAAGCGCACGUAGGCGGCUUUUUAAGUCAGGGGUGAAAUCCUGGAGCUCAACUCCAGAACUGCCUUUGAUACUGGGAAGCUUGAGUCCGGAAGAGGUGAGUGGAACUCCGAGUGUAGAGGUGAAAUUCGUAGAUAUUCGGAAGAACACCGAUGGCGAAGGCAGGUCUCUGGGCCGAUACUGACGCUGAGGAGCGAAAGCGUGGGGAGCGAACAGG
rnacentral:rRNA from 1 species